UUUUUAUCUUCCGGUUGUGUAACAUGGAUUACUGAAUUUUAAAGAAUAGAUAUGUUUUAGGAUUUUUGGUAUUCUUAUGUUCCAGCAAAGAGAAAACUUAACUAGGCUUGAAUUUUUUAUAGAGAAUAUCAGUAUAAUAUGUCCUUGCUGUAAAUUAAUUACUUUGUUGUAGAAACUUUUUAUCAAAUGUUUAUCCCCCGUGUGACACCAAAAUAUGGAGUCAUAAUCAG
rnacentral:lncRNA from 1 species